rnacentral:tRNA from 1 species
GCGGUCGUAGCUCAGUUGGUAGAGCCCCGGAUUGUGAUUCCGGUUGUCGCGGGUUCGAGCCCCGUCGAUCGCCCCA